GGAAGGAGGAGGGAGAUGACAGGUGAGAAGGAGGCAUCAGAACCAGCUGCUGCAUGGGGUGGAGAGAUGUGAGCUCCUGGAGCAGAAAGCACCACAAGAAAAAUGAGUAAGAGUCAGCUGACCUCCGUGCACUGGAGAGCUCUGUGUCAGGUGGCAUGUCUUCACGGUGGAGCCUGAAUGAGAAAUAGCAGCAGUGGCCAAAUCUACAGCUUUCUACACUCCAAACUCCAUCCGUGCACCAUG